AUAGACUUAGUCCUAACCUUACAGUUAAUUAUAACCAAACAUAUACAUGCAAGUAUCCGCACCCCAGUGUAAAUGCCCACAACUUCUUACCCAGACUAGAGGAGCAGGCAUCAGGCACACAAUUGUAGCCCAAGACGCCUUGCUUAGCCACACCCCCACGGGUAUUCAGCAGUAAUUAACAUUAAGCAAUAAGCGCAAGCUUGACUUAGUUAUGGUAACUCCAGGGCUGGUAAAUCUUGUGCCAGCCACCGCGGUCAUACAAGAAGCCCAAAUUAACCACAAUACGGCGUAAAGAGUGGUAUCAUGCUAUCACCCAACUAAGAUCGAAAUGCAACCAAGCCGUCACAAGCCCAUGAUGCAUCUAAGACCACCCUUAAAAUGAUCCUAGCAUUACGAUCAAUUAUACCCACGAAAGCUAGGGCACAAACUGGGAUUAGAUACCCCACUAUGCCUAGCCAUAAAUCCUGAUACUCAUCGUACUAAAAGUAUCCGCCUGAGAACUACGAGCACAAACGCUUAAAACUCUAAGGACUUGGCGGUGCCCUAAACCCACCUAGAGGAGCCUGUUCUAUAAUCGAUAAUCCACGCUACACCCGACCAUCUCUUGCCCAAAGCAGCCUACAUACCGCCGUCACCAGCUCACCUCCACUGAGAGCCAAAACAGUGAGCGCAAUAGCCCUCCACUAACAAGACAGGUCAAGGUAUAGCCAAUGAGAUGGAAGAAAUGGGCUACAUUUUCUAGAAUAGAAAAUCAACAGAAAAAGGGAGUGAAACCUUCCUUUAAAGGCGGAUUUAGCAGUAAAGAAGAACAACAAUGUCCUCUUUAAGCCCGGCCCUAGGGCACGUACAUACCGCCCGUCACCCUCUUCACAAGCCCCUCCCCACAUAACUAAUAAAAUUCCACCGGCUAAAGACGAGGUAAGUCGUAACAAGGUAAGUGUACCGGAAGGUGUACUUAGCAU
rnacentral:ncRNA from 1 species